AGAGUUUGAUCAUGGCUCAGAUUGAACGCUGGCGGCGUGCCUAACACAUGCAAGUCGAGCGGUAACAGGUGUAGCAAUACAUGCUGACGAGCGGCGAACGGGUGAGUAAUGCAUUGGAAUCUUCCCAGUAGUGUGGAAUAACCAGUCGAAAGAUUGGCUAAUACCGCAUACGUCUGCGAAGAGAAAGCGGGGGAUCGCAAGACCUCGCGCUAUUGGAUGAGCCAAUGUCGGAUUAGCUAGUUGGUGAGGUAAUGGCUCACCAAGGCGACAAUCCGUAGCUGGUCUGAGAGGACGACCAGCCACACCGGAACUGAGACACGGUCCGGACUCCUACGGGAGGCAGCAGUGGGGAAUAUUGGACAAUGGGGGAAACCCUGAUCCAGCGACGCCGCGUGUGUGAAGAAGGCCUGCGGGUUGUAAAGCGCUUUUAGUGGGGACAAAAAGUCACGGGCUAAUACCGCGUGAUCUUGAUUUAACUCACAGAAAAAGCACCGGCUAACUCUGUGCCAGCAGCCGCGGUAAUACAGAGGGUGCGAGCGUUAAUCGGAAUUACUGGGCGUAAAGCGCGCGUAGACGGUUUGGUAAGUCAGAUGUGAAAUCCCCGGGCUCAACCUGGGAACUGCAUUUGAUACUGCCUGGCUAGAGUAUGGAAGAGGGAAGUGGAAUUUCCGGUGUAGCGGUGAAAUGCGUAGAUAUCGGAAGGAACACCAGUGGCGAAAGCGACUUCCUGGUCCAAUACUGACGUUCAUGUGCGAAAGCGUGGGGAGCAAACAGGAUUAGAUACCCUAGUAGUCC
rnacentral:rRNA from 1 species